CCAUGACUAUGACAAAAAGCAUCAAAUAGUGUCUAUGCAAAGAGGUUCCUACCUGCAUCAGCCUUGGAUAGGAAAUGUGCGAAGAUUAUCAGAAGCAAACAAAAUCUCAUUUUCUGGUGAUUUCAUCGUCCGGAAGAUCAGCCUGUUCAACCAUCAAGACUGGGUUAUCUCAGACUAAGUUUUCUAAAGAUUAAAUUUAUUAAAAUUAUUCAAGAAA